GUGAAUCAUCAAAUUUUUGAACGCAAAUUGCACUCUCUGCUGAGAGGAGGCCUGUUCGAGUUUCAGCCUAAAAAAAUUCGACAUAGCUGCUGUUAUGCGGUAACAUUCGUCGUAAAUUGUUUCAUCUUAAACCUUUGGGUUUAAGCGGCUUAAAAUUUUCUUUACGACUGCAAGAACGUAUCUAAUAUUGUAUUUUCUU
rnacentral:misc_RNA from 1 species